rnacentral:rRNA from 1 species
AGAAAUUACGUAUCGGAUUACUGGGCGUAAGCGUGCGCAGGCGGUUUUGUAAGACAGGCGUGAAAUCCCCGGGCUUAACCUGGGAACUGCGCUUGUGACUGCAAGGCUAGAGUGCGGCAGAGGGGGGUAGAAUUCCACGUGUAGCAGUGAAAUGCGUAGAUAUGUGGAGGAAUACCGAUGGCGAAGGCAGCCCCCUGGGUCGAUACUGACGCUCAUGCACGAAAGCGUGGGGAGCAAACAGGAUUAGAUACCCUGGUAGUCCACGCCCUAAACGAUGUCAACUAGGUGUUGGGGAAGGAGACUUCUUUAGUACCGCAGCUAACGCGAUAAGUUGACCGCCUGGGGAGUACGGUCGCAAGAUUAAAACUCAAAGGAAUUGACGGGGACCCGCACAAGCGGUGGAUUAUGUGGAUUAAUUCGAUGCAACGCGAAAAACCUUACCUACCCUUGACAUGUCAGGAAGAUCCCAGAGAUGGGAUUGUGCCCGAAAGGGAACCUGAACACAGGUGCUGCAUGGCUGUCGUCAGCUCGUGUCGUGAGAUGUUGGGUUAAGUCCCGCAACGAGCGCAACCCUUGUCAUUAAUUGCCAUCAUUCGGUUGGGCACUUUAAUGAGACUGCCGGUGAUAAACCGGAGGAAGGUGGGGAUGACGUCAAGUCCUCAUGGCCCUUAUGGGUAGGGCUUCACACGUAAUACAAUGGUCGGUACAGAGGGUCGCCAACCCGCGAGGGGGAGCCAAUCUCAGAAAGCCGAUCGUAGUCCGGAUCGGAGUCUGCAACUCGACUCCGUGAAGUCGGAAUCGCUAGUAAUCGCGGAUCAGCAUGUCGCGGUGAAUACGUUCCCGGGUCUUGUACACACCGCCCGUCACACCAUGGGAGUGGAAUCUGGCAGAAGUAGUAGCCUAACCGCAAGAGGGCGCUUACCACGCUGGGUUUCAUGACUGGGGUG